rfam:Taeniopygia guttata chromosome 2, whole genome shotgun sequence.
GCCUAUGGCACACCGCCCUGAGAGCGCCCGGUCUCGUCUGAUCUUGCAAUCUAAGCAGGGUCUGGCCCACUUAGUACUGGGAUGGGAGACCCCCUGGGAAUACUGGGUGCUGUAGGCU